CUCUCUCUUUUUUUCUCUUCUCUUUUUGUCUCUUUUUUUAGGAUAAUCCCAACUGUCUCCAUUUUUUCUCUCUAUUUUCUCCUCUUUUGCCUGAGGAUUUAGAUGUAAUUAACAAACAAAUCUAUAUCUUUUCUCCUCUUUUAACACAAACAUUUGUCGUCCACCUCCUCUUGGUGUUUUGAUCCCUUUACUUUUGACAUGGCAGGUAUGGUAUACUUUACUUUUCUGGGACUCUUUAUUAUUCUUUCAUUCUUGUCUCCUUCUUUGCUUGUUUAAUGAAAUUUUUUAUGUCUUCUUUGAUGAAAAUUGUGUAUAUCAUAUUUUCACAUUAGUUAUUUAAAUUAGUUAUUUACAUCUGUUGUUUUUAUUUAUUUACUCAUUACCCAUAUCAUAUUUAUUUAUAAAUUAUUUUUUAUUAAAUAAUUGGAAAAAGUCAUUACCCAUGAGUUCUCCUAACAGAUGGUUCAUUUGUUACAACAGAUUGGUCAUCUGUUGGAAGAACUGAAAACUUGGAUUGAGUUUUUCCUACAGAUGGAUCAUCUAUUGCAGUAGAUCGAUCAUCUAUUGGGAGAACUUUAAAAGCUUGGCACUAUUGGUAUUGUUUGUUUGUUUGUUUGUUGUUGGUUUUGUUAUUUGUUUUUAUUUUAAUGAUAUUGUUGGUGUUGUUCGUAUUAUUGGUGUUGGUGUUGGUGGUGGUAGUAUUAGUGGUGUUGGUGUUGCAAUAAGUGGAACAUAUUAUGGAAGAUAUUAAAAUAGGUCUUCCAAUAGAUUCCCCAUCUGUUGCAACUGAUGAAUCAACUGUAGGAAUAAAUCAAAAUAGAUCUUCCAACAGAUGACCCAUCUGUUGCAACAAAUGGAUCCCCUACUAGAAGAAAUUAAACCAGUAGCAAUAUUGUCUUAAUUUCUUCCAAUAGAUGAGCCAUUUGUUGCAACAUGUUGGUCAUCUGUUGGAAUUCUUAUUGUAAUGUAUUAUAUUUAUUGAAUUUUGUAUUACCCUUUUUUUAAAUUAUGCAGACAUCAAUGGUAAUGUUUUUUUGUUUUUCUCUUAUUUGUAGAUAAAGAUGUCUCCCAAAAGAAAAGAAAGUGAAAGUGGAUCAACUUUUGUCCGAUUAACAUAAAAGGAUAGAGUAAGGACGGGUUCGAAGAAUAAGUUGCUUGCAGAUAGAACUAUUUUAUAUGUGGGAGGCAUGUAUUACUGAUCAUCUUAUCGUGAAAACACACAUAAAGUACAAUGAUUUUGUGAAUUUAUAUUUUAUCGAUUAGACAUUGCUCAUUCAAAUAAGAUAUUGUGUUUUACAGUUAAAUUUAAUACGUCCAAAAUGAUAAGGCUGAGGGACCUAAAAGGUGGUGCCGAUACCUUAUUACAAUAAAUAACG
rnacentral:lncRNA from 1 species